rnacentral:rRNA from 1 species
AAACCCUUUAACGAGGAUCUAUCAGAGGGCAAGUCUGGUGCCAGCAGUCGCGGUAAUUCCAGCUCUGAAGGUGUAUACCACCGUUGUUGCGGUUAAAACGCUCGUAGUUGGAUCUACGUUCGUGGGGUCGGUGUUCUCGUUUGAGUGCUACUGACUACCUGAACUGAAACAGCUGGUUUUCCCUUGGUGCUCUUUAUUGGGUGCCCUGGGUGGCUAGCAAGUUUACUUUGAAAAAAUUAGAGUGCUCAAAACAGGCGCAUGCCUGAAUAGUGGUGCAUGGAAUAAUGGAAUAGGAUCUUGGUCCUAUUUUGUUGGUUUUCGGGAGCCGAGAUAAUGAUUAAGAGGGACAGACGGGGGCAUUCGUAUUGCAGCGUUAGAGGUGAAAUUCUUGGAUCGUUGCAAGACGAACAACUGCGAAAGCAUUUGCCAAGAAUGUUUUCAUUAAUCAAGAACGAAAGUUAGAGGUUCGAAGGCGAUCAGAUACCGCCCUAGUUCUAACCGUAAACGAUGCCAACUCGCGAUCUAGUGGUGUUAUUUAUGACCCGCUAGGGAGCGUCCCGGAAACGAAAGUUUUUCGGUUCCGGGGGAAGUAUGGUUGCAAAUCUGAAACUUAAAGGAAUUGACGGAAGGGCACCACCAGGAGUGGAGCCUGCGGCUUAAUUUGACCCAACACGGGAAAACUCACCCGGCCCGGACACCGUAAGGAUUGACAGAUUGAGAGCUCUUUCUUGAUUCGGUGGGUGGUGGUGCAUGGCCGUUCUUAGUUGGUGGAGCGAUUUGUCUGGUUAAUUCCGAUAACGAACGAGACUCUAUCCUACUAAAUAGCAAGCGGAUCAGCCCAGUCCGCAGUGCUUCUUAGAGGGACAAGCAGCUUUUAGCUGCACGAAGGUGAGCAAUAACAGGUCUGUGAUGCCCUUAGAUGUCCGGGGCUGCACGCGCGCUACACUGAAAGGAUCAGCGUGCAAGAUACCUUCCCCGAGAGGGGUGGGUAACCCAAUCAAAACCUUUCGUGAUUGGGAUAGGAGAUUGCAAUUAUUCUCCUUGAACGAGGAAUUCCCAGUAAGUGUGGGUCAUCAGCUCGCGCUGAUUACGUCCCUGCCCUUUGUACACACCGCCCGUCGCUGCCCGGAACUGAGCCGUUUCGAGAAGAACAGGGACUGCUGUUUGGUGGCCUUCGGGUUGCCUCUUGGCGGAAACUGUUUU